rnacentral:rRNA from 1 species
UACGUAGGGUGCGAGCGUUGUCCGGAUUUAUUGGGCGUAAAGAGCUCGUAGGCGGUUUGUCGCGUCGGCCGUGAAAUCUCCACGCUUAACGUGGAGCGUGCGGUCGAUACGGGCAGACUUGAGUUCGGUAGGGGAGACCGGAAUUCCUGGUGUAGCGGUGAAAUGCGCAGAUAUCAGGAGGAACACCGGUGGCGAAGGCGGGUCUCUGGGCCGAUACUGACGCUGAGGAGCGAAAGCGUGGGGAGCGAACAGG